CGAACGGGUGAGGAACGCGUGGACAACCUACCCCGGCGUGGGGGAUACCCGCCAGAAAUGGCGGCUAAUACCGCGUACGGUUCUCUGGCUUUGGGCUGGGGAAAGAAAGCAGUGAUGCGCGCUGGGAGGGGUCUGCGACCGAUUAGCUUGUUGGCGGGGUAACGGCCCACCAAGGCAGUGAUCGGUAGCUGGUCUGAGAGGAUGAUCAGCCACACGGGGACUGAGACACGGCCCCG
rnacentral:rRNA from 1 species